UUAACUAUCUGUAUCAUCCCUUU
rnacentral:snRNA from 1 species